ensembl:lncRNA
ACUCUGCGGCUUCUUCCUGGACCCACGCGGUACCUGCACCCUCUCGUUGCCCAAGACCGGCCUCGCUGCUCCUGCCCUUCGGCCUCGGACCGUCGGAACGUCGUGCAACGGGACUGCUGCUGGAUCCUGGUGAUCACAUGAAGUUAUCCAGAAAUGACUUUGUUUAAGGAUCCAAACUGUAAACCACUGAUUUUUCUUUGCAGAAGUGAAGAAACAGAUUCCACUUUAGAAGAACACGUGUCAGGUACUUGUGCUCACAGAUUCUUAUGCUUUGGCAAAUUUUGUAGUAUUUUCUGGAUAAUUUUUAUCAAAGCAGAAGGGAACUGUGGGUAUUUUUAGAGAGGUUUGGGCUUUUUUUUUUUUUUUUUUCUUCUUUCAAUCUCCCCAAAUCCAGUGGAAAUAUGUAACACAAACUUGGUUUCACUUAUAAUUUCUGAGAGCAACCCAUUGUUAAUAAACACCUUAACCAGCCUGUGACUGUUCACUCAACACGUGCUCAGAUUUUGGAUAACCCACAGCUGUAAGUCUAAGGCCAUGUGUAUGCUGGCAGCAGCAUCACUCAGUCAAAGUGAGAGCAACGCAUGAGCAGGACACAAUGGACAGGAAAGGCCAAAGGUCAUUAAGCACCUGUUACCACCUGCAUCUCAAUGUCUCCUGCAGCCAUUACCCUCAAAUGGAUUAUCUGGCAGCUUCUUCAGGGUAUAGUGACUCAUGGACAUGGUGUAGACCAUGUCUGUCCAACCUUCUGGCUUACCUGGGCUGCACUGAGUGAAAAGGAAUUGUCUUGGACUGUGUACAAAAUAUAUAAUAUAGUUAAUGUCUAUAAGUAACAAAACUUCUUUUAUUUUUUAAUAUUUUUAAUUAAAACAAACAAACAAACAAACAAAGAUAACAAUAAAGACAUAAAACUAGUGAGAUAUUUGAGUUUGUUUUUGUUAAACUAAUGUACCAGUCUGGUUCAGUGGAAGUGGUUGAAGUUUUUAGUCAGUUCUCAAGGUGUUCAUCAAAGAUUUUUGAUGAAAAUUUACUCUUCCUGUGCUGCAUCCUCGAAAAUCUUUGUUCAUAGGCAUGAUUGUGAAGUGAGUGAUAUUUUUCUCUGGUAAGAUAGUUCUUGUAAAGAGACAUAAUCAGAUUUUUUAGUUCAAUAUAUGAUUACAACUCUAUACAUUCCAUUUGAAAAUUUGCAUGUAAUGUGUUUAUGUUGACUGAGAAUGGAGUCGCAAAUAUACAAAAUAAAAGAUUAUUUCUUUG